rnacentral:rRNA from 1 species
UACGGGGGGGGCAAGCGUUGUUCGGAAUUACUGGGCGUAAAGGGCGCGUAGGCGGUUUGCUAAGUUGAAUGUGAAAACUCUGGGCUUAACCCAGAGCCUGCAUUCAAUACUGGCAGGCUAGAGUUCUGGAGGGGAUAGCGGAAUUCCUGGUGUAGCGGUGAAAUGCGUAGAUAUCUGGAGGAACACCCGUGGCGAAGGCGGUUCUCUGGAACGCAACUGACGCUGAGACGCGAAAGCGUGGGGAGCAAACAGG